CUUUUCCCCCACCACACUAGUGCACCACCAACUCCAUUAUCUUUUGCUCCCCACCAAAUCCUUCUCCCUUCUUACUCAAUAGAUCGCCAGUGGAGCUGUUUAAGAAAAUCCAAUUCGUAUAUUCCAACAGAAUGUUUACAGCAAGCUCAUGCCAACAUCAAAACCAAGUUUCACACAGAAAAAAACACCCGAAAUAACAUCUAUAAUCUCCGAGAUCUCCUUAUUCAAACAGUAUAUGCCAACAAAUUUUCACCAAGAAGAAGAAAACAGAUCAGCCAAUCAAGCACAAAUAGACAAGGUCAAGCGCGAGAGUAAGAACUACACAAGGAGUUAGAGUACCUUAGCAAAACUUUGCUAUCAGGUUGAGCUGUGAUGGGCGAUGAAGUGUUGUUGCUGAGUGGAGUUUUUGUUGAACUUAAAGUAGGCUCAGAAAGGAUACAUGUCUUCAUACAUGUAUCUCAGUUAUGUAUUCCGCUGUAAACACUGAUUAUUUCAGUUACGCCUUCCGUUGCAAACUCUGAUAAUAUUUUAGCCAAGCCCCUAACGAUGCCUUUUCCUUUUAAGGAAUAUUUCACGCGUAUCCAAGCUCUUUGAGUAUUCUUUUA